UCUUACAAAAUCACCAUAAAACCAUAUACAUAGUCGCAAGAAAACGCUUAAAAGAAACAAAUUCACAAGAACCUAUCAGUUUCAUUGAUUCUCUAAACAGUAUAAUUUUUUUACAUAUAUGUUCUAUGUGACAGUACUGCUUGAUAAUAUUAUUAUAUACAAUAAUAUAAGCACAGCAACAAAUUAAGGAAUACAUACAUGGGUUGUUCAAGAACUAAACCCAAGCAUAGAGAGUGAUGAAAUAUACAAAUUCAUGGCUUAGGAAUGGCUUUAUCUGUUGAAAUAUACAAAUUCAUGAGAUGCAUAGAACCUUUAUUAAUUACUUUAUGGCUUAGGAAUGGCUUUAUCUGUUGUAGAACAUAGUGUUGAACCUAAAGCAUGGUUGUUUAUGUAGCGGCUAGGAGCAGAGUUGAAGCGAAAUCCCUUUGGCAGACAAUCAUUCAUCGCUCCACCGUGAAGUUUGCCUUGCUCGCUACCGCUUGUGUAAAAUGUAUUCAAGCUCGUGUGGCCUGACUUAUUGGAUACCCUUAAUGGUCUAGAUGCAUUGACAAAGGUCGUUUGGGGAGAAAAAGAUAAAAGAAAUAUGUAGAGCAACACGAUGAAGGAAAUGUAACUCGGCAUUUAUGUGUGUUUGUGUGUUAAGCUAUCAACCGUUGCUCU
rnacentral:lncRNA from 1 species